rnacentral:rRNA from 1 species
CCANAGAUCCGCCUUUCSCCACCGGUGUUCCUCCUGKAACRSGGCAUUUCAGCGCUACACCAGGAAUUCCGAUCUCCCCUACCGAACUCUAGCCUGCCCGUAUCGAAUGCAGACCCGGGGUUAAGCCCCGGGCUUUCACAUCCGACGUGACAAGCCGCCUACGAGCUCUUUACGCCCAAUAAUUCCGGACAACGCUCGCACCCUACGUAUUACCGCGGCUGCUGGCACGUAGUUAGCCGGUACUUCUUCUGCAGGUACCGUCACUUUCGCUUCUUCCCUGCUGAAAGAGGUUUACAACCCGAAGGCCGUCAUCCCUCACGCGGCGUCGCUGCAUCAGGCUUUCGCCCAUUGUGCAAUAUUCCCCACUGCUGCCUCCCGUAGGAGUCUGGGCCGUGUCUCAGUCCCGGUGUGGCCGGUCGCCCUCUCAGGCCGGCUACCCGUCGUCGCCUUGGUAGGCCAUCACCCCACCAACAAGCUGAUAGGCCGCGGGCUCAUCCUGCACCGCCGGAGCUUUCCACCACCAGACCAUGCGGUCGGUAGUCGUAUCCGGUAUUAGACCCCGUUUCCAGGGCUUGU